AACGAACGCUGGCGGCAGGCUUAACACAUGCAAGUCGAGCGCCCCGCAAGGGGAGCGGCAGACGGGUGAGUAACGCGUGGGAACGUACCUUUUGGUUCGGAACAACUCCGGGAAACUGGAGCUAAUACCGGAUAAGCCCUAACGGGGAAAGAUUUAUCGCCGAAAGAUCGGCCCGCGUCUGAUUAGCUAGUUGGUGAGGUAACGGCUCACCAAGGCGACGAUCAGUAGCUGGUCUGAGAGGAUGAUCAGCCACACUGGGACUGAGACACGGCCCAGACUCCUACGGGAGGCAGCAGUGGGGAAUAUUGGACAAUGGGCGCAAGCCUGAUCCAGCCAUGCCGCGUGAGUGAUGAAGGCCUUAGGGUGGUAAAGCUCUUUUGUCCGGGAAGAUAAUGACUGUACCGGAAGAAUAAGCCCCGGCUAACUUCGU
rnacentral:rRNA from 1 species